AUGACAAAUGGCAUUACCGCAGGACAUAUACAUGACUUCGUCACCCUUUGGGAGAAGUUGGAUGGGAUAAUCCUGGAUCAUGGCACGCAUGAUACGACCACAUGGAAGCUUACGGAGAGCGGUACUUACUCCACUUCUUCAGCCUAUUCGCUACAGUUCGAGGGACGCACCUCAACACCACUCCUAAAGACCGUUUGGAAAGUCUGGGCAACUCCGAAAUGCAAGUUCUUUGCUUGGUUAAUCAUUCACAACAGAGUAUGGACGGCGGACAGGCUACAACGAAGGGGGUGUCCGACUUGCGGUUUGUGUCCUCUUUGCAGCCAAGUUCAGGAGUCUGCGGCGCACCUCCUAUUCCAAUGCCGGUUUUUGGUUGCGGUUUGGAAUGCGGUAAAGGCGAAGAUUGGGCUGAGCAAUAUUGUCACGGCGGACUGGGCGGCUAUGCGAAGUGUCAGACAUUAGUGGACCGAGAUUGCGCUCGCGCGCUCGCCUAAUGGGAAAGGCAUGGCCUCCCUGCUUAUGCUUAUCUUUUGGAAACUUUGGAAGGAGAGGAACACUAGGGUCUUUCGGAACGUCUCCACGCCUACGACGAUUCUCGUGAAAAAAAUCAUGGAUGAGGCGACAAUGCGGAUGUUGGCGGGUGCCAAAGGGCUGGGUGUAAUUUUACAUCGCGAGUAG
rnacentral:rRNA from 1 species